rnacentral:hammerhead_ribozyme from 1 species
AUCUAUCUGACGAGUUCCAAACAGGACAAUACGUACGUCCUGGAC